CAAAAAAGAAAGCAAAGCAUCAGCAGCAGCAAGAGAGAGAAAGAGCUUGGAAGAACCAAGAAAGAAAAAAGAGGAUUUCUUGCGUGCCUCCCCACGGGUUGAAUUAACUUCGUUUCGUGGCCCGGGUCACAGGAGGACCAGCUGUUACUGUUAAGCAGUCCAUCGUCUUCUGAGGAUGACCUGCAGGAGCUUGGGAGGGAGCUCGAAUGAAUCUAUUCCAAAUGGUUAUGUUGCUCCACUUAAGAAGUCAGAGUCUUUUGUUGCAGAGCUGAAAGUUGCGACAAGAAGCUUCAGAUCUGAUACAAUUCUCAGCAAGGGUGGUCUUGGUAGUCUUCAAAGGCUGCGUUGAUGAGAAGGGGUCUUUGCCAGAGCAAAAGAAUGACUCCAAUUGCCAUAAAAAAAUUGAACCCAGAGAGCAUGCGAGGAUUCAAAGAGUGGAAGGUUGUCAGGAUAAAAGCAAUGAGAUACAAAUGAUCAAGGCAUAUCAGUUUUGGAAAGCACAUUUGAGCAGCCGUCUUGGAGUGUGUGGAUGAGAAGGCAAGCUAAUGUAAAUCUUAGGACCCUCUGAUCUAUAGAUACCUCAAGUGAGCAAUUGUGCUCUUCAUCUAAAUCUUGAGUUUCCCCAAUCUUGUUCUACAGUUAUUAUGUCUAAGUUUUUUUAGUGUAUAUUGACUUCAUUUUUUUUUUUUUGGGCAGAAAAUGAAUGAUUUAUAAAACAUUUUCCUAAAAAUAAUUGCUUGCAUUAUUUGAAAUAAUUAGUCAAUAAAAAUGUUUUCAUUAUUGACUAUAAUUUAUAUCUAAACAUUUUUAUGGUUGAUCAAAUAUUUUGUGUUCACUCACUUUUGUAAGAGAUACAAUGGUCGCUUUAGGAAAUUUUUUUCAAAUUAUUCAUUUUUCGCAUAACAAAUGGAAAAUGAAUGAAUUGGAAAAUAUUUUCUUAUAAAUGAUCACUUGCAUUGUUUGAAAUAAUUGGUCAAUGAAAGCUAUUUUCAUUAUUGACAAUAAUUUAUGUCUAAAAAUGUUUGGGAUGAUGAAAACAUUUAUCUUUCAUUCAUUUUGGAAGUGUUACAAGUGAUUAAUUUUAAUAAAAUAUUUUCCAAUUCAUUCAUUUUCCGCAAAACAAACACGCCUUACAUUAUGUUUGUUUUCCAGCAGCCAAGCAGCAUGGAAAUGUAGUAGGAGGAGAAAAGCUUUGCCAGCUUAGCCUCUAUCUCUAAAGUUCUUGAAAGCUGGAGUAGAAACAUCUUUCAAAUCUUGUUUAUAAAUAUGACAGUAAAGUCCCAUGAUAGCUUUUAAAUUUUGAAAUGUAGGGACUCUUCUUGCAUUUUGGAGGAGGACUUUAGGCCCCGCAUCAGAAGCUAUUGUGACUUAUAUCCUUCCCUUUCAAGCUAAACUCAGAGGACAUCACAACAAUGUACCUGAAACAUUAAAUCCCAAUGAGUUUUAUGACAAUAGAGGCACUUCUGGAAUUUCUCAUCAUAUUUCUAGGAGCUAAAACCGUCCUUGGUGAGGAUAAUCUACUUGUGGAAAAACAUGCUGGCCAGCCCUAAAAGUAAUGUGACAUAAUUUUUUUGAGUCCAAACUUAUGCUACUCUUCUUCAUUCCUUGGAAUAAUGAAUAAGAUCCUGCCAUUUACUUUUUAUGUAUCACCUGGUAAAUGGAGGUUGACACAUUAUUAGCAUACGAGUCUUCUAAAAGGGACAAGAUGAGGAGGGAAGGUCUUAGCCUCCACAUAGAUCUAGUUAGCAUUCAAAUUUUUCAAAACUGAUCAUCACUCAAAAUGCAAUUGUCUCUUGGAAGGUGGACAUCUACUUUGUACUGCACAAGAUGAAUGCAUUCUUUUCUAUCAUGUUGAGUAUCAGAGCUUGUAUGCUUCUGUGUUUUAGACUGUACAUGGUCACCAUACAGCCCAUCAUUCUUAUCCUCUAUUGGCUUUGCUAAUGUCAAAAUCAUGUGAGGGAUGUUUACUUGCUUUCUAAAGAGGUUGAGCACUUAAGAUUUGUUACUCCUUGGUUUAUUUUCAUGAAUACGAGGUUGUGUAUUUACAGUAAGGUAUAUGAAAUUCAACCAAGCGGAUCACAUGUCAGGAUUUACUAUUGAACAUGGGUGAUAAUGCAUCAUUGAAUGUUCCAUCCUAGUUUUAAUCUCAGAUUGUUUGCUACCUCUUAAAUUCUAUGGUGCAUCCACACUAAAUGGCUCUUAGGGUGCCAUUGUGAUUUUUUUUUAAUUUCUUAUCAGAUAAAUUGAUCAUUCUGUCUCCUCUCUUUCUCUCCAAGUGAUGCCUGUUUGCUUCGUUGUGCUAAGAAGAACAUGAAAAUAUGAGGUUUUGCUUUAUUUUGAUAUGGGAGUGACAACUUUUUGCAUUCGGAGGUGAACUUCGUUGCCAGCUUAUCUCAUCCAAACAUUGUCACGUUAAGAGGAUGUUGUUUUGGAGAAUAAAGAACUACUUCUUGUCUAUGAGUUCAUGCCAAAGGGUACCCUUAAGAACCACCUCUCUGGAAGUGAGGUUCUUUCUUGGGUGAUAAAUGCAUGCUUGCUUUGAAUUUACUGCAAAUAUGAUCUUUUCAUGGUUCAGUGUACUCUAGGAAUCAUGUGUCUUUCCUGCUGCAGGGGGCUCGGCCAUUAAACCACUUCCACGGGUCACAUGGCUUAAACUCGCUAUAGGAGCAGUCAAGGGCCUCACUUUCUUGAACCAGUUAGACAGGCAAAUAAUCAGCAGAGUUUUCAAGAUCUCCAACAGAUUGCUGGACUCAGUAAAUUUCACGUUCGCUACUUAGAUUAAAUUAAGCAAUAUCACAUUGUUGUUACCUUUUAAAUUUGGUUCCAAAUCCUCCUCCUGUGCUGAAAGAAGUCACAUCCGUUUGCAACAUCCCUCUUUUUGCAAUCCCCUCCUGCCAUUCUUGAAGCAGCAAGAAGUUGAAAACCUUAUGCUUUCAGGCUUUCAUUCUGGCCAGGUUUUCACAUAAAAACACAGGAGUUAUCAUUGCAAAGCAUUUUCAAAACCUAGUUCACCAGCCAAGUAUGUUACUUUUUUUUUGGUCAUGGGGGCUUUGUUGUUAUGGUUGUCUAAAAUUGCGUAUGCCUGAGCUACUCUUUUCACAUGUGACGACACUGGUUAUUGGAAAUUAUGGCCAUGCAACACCCGAGUAUAGAGCCAAAGGUACUAUAAUGGGCUCUCUGAAUUGCUUGGCUGAUCAUAGCAGAGAACGUUGCACUCUGGACUUAGUCUAACCAUGCGUGAAGCCAUGUUCAGCAAAGUCAUGUUAAGAGUAUCACAUCACUCUGUUUGGACAGGUCAUUUGUAUGUGAAGAUCGAUAUCUAUAGCUUCAUGAUGGUACUGGUUGAGCUUUUGACCAGAAUGCGAACAUAUUAUGCAAAUCAUCCGACUGCUCAGCAGCUUUUGGUGGAGUGGGCCAAGCCUCAUCUUUCUAAAAUGAUAUUGACAAGAAUUAUGGACUCUUGACUGGAAGGGCGAUCCUCUGAAGGAUGCUGUCGAUGUAGCAGCACUCACAUGCCGUCGUCUCCAGUAUUUGCCCAAGCACAAGCCAUUGAUGAACAAAGUUGUGGAAACUCGGGAAAAAAUUAGCUGCAGCCGAUAGAAAACACUGUUUCCUAGACGGUUGAUCCCAACUCGACCAUCUUUCUCGGACACGGUCAGUAAUUCUUUAUUCAUCACCUCUGCCCAUUGCUGAUUCAUCUUCUCUUUGCUGUUUGUGUUGGUUUAGGCUUGCUGGUUCUGUGCCGUUGUUUGGCCUCUUUCCUUCCCUUGCCUUUGGCUUGGUUUCUUUUACCUUGGCCCCUUUCACUCACUCUAACUUGUUGUCUGCGUGAGUGCAAGUUUUUGGGACCGAGUUUUUGCUGUAUAGCUAUAUAUAGCUCUUUAGUUUAAAGUCAAUAUAUUUCUUACCUUCACCAAAAAAAAAAAAAA